AACGAACGCUGGCGGCAUGCCUAACACAUGCAAGUCGAACGAAGCCUUCGGGCUUAGUGGCGCACGGGUGCGUAACGCGUGGGAAUCCGCCCUUGGGUUCGGAAUAACAGUUAGAAAUGACUGCUAAUACCGGAUGAUGUCUUCGGACCAAAGAUUUAUCGCCCAAGGAUGAGCCCGCGUAGGAUUAGGUAGUUGGUGGGGUAAUGGCCCACCAAGCCGACGAUCCUUAGCUGGUCUGAGAGGAUGAUCAGCCGCACUGGGACUGAGACACGGCCCAGACUCCUACGGGAGGCAGCAGUGGGGAAUAUUGGACAAUGGGCGAAAGCCUGAUCCAGCAAUGCCGCGUGAGUGAUGAAGGCCUUAGGGUUGUAAAGCUCUUUUACCAGGGAUGAUAAUGACAGUACCUGGAGAAUAAGCUCCGGCUAACUCCGUGCCAGCCGCCGCGGUAA
rnacentral:rRNA from 1 species